rnacentral:rRNA from 1 species
GACGAACGCUGGCGGCGUGCUUAACACAUGCAAGUCGAACGGACAGACAGAGAGCUUGCUCUCUUGAAGUUAGUGGCGAACGGGUGAGUAACGCGUAAUCAACCUGCCCUUCAGAGGGGGAUAACAACGGGAAACCGUUGCUAAUACCGCGUACGAUUCAUGAACGGCAUCGUUUAUGAAUGAAAGGUGGCCUCUAUGUAUAAGCUAUCGCUGAAGGAGGGGAUUGCGUCUGAUUAGCUAGUUGGAGGGGUAACGGCCCACCAAGGCAAUGAUACGUAGCAGGUCUGAGAGGAUGAGCGGCCACAUUGGGACGGAGACACGGCCCAAACUCCUACGGGAGGCAGCAGUGGGGAAUCUUCCGCAAUGGACGAAAGUCUGACGGAGCAACGCCGCGUGAGUGAUGAAGGUCUUCGGAUUGUAAAGCUCUGUUAAUCGGGACGAAAGAGUUCUGCGUGAAUAAUGCAGAAAAGUGACGGUACCGGAAUAGAAAGCCACGGCUAACUACGUGCCAGCCGCCGCGGUAA